UUUUUCUUCUCUUUCUCUCCUUUCCUUUCUCUCUCCCCGCUAGCUUCUUCUUUCUUUCUCCUUCUCUUUCUCUCCUUUCUCCUUGCUAGCGUCGCACCCUUCUCCUCUUCUUUCGCUACCAGCACCGCUUCUCUUUUUCCUUCCUCUCUCUUCCUCCUUCCCUUUUCCUCUCUUCUUCUCCGCCGAUCCUCUCUCUUUCUCCCUCACCCUUUUUGUUUCUUUUGUAUUUAUUUUUUUGAUUUUUUUGUUGUUUGAUUGUGGUUGUUUCUGGUUGGUAGACUAAGUUUUUUUUGGUUUUUUGAUGUUACUAGAUUUUUUUUGAGUUCCUAGGGAUUCUGGUUUUUUUUUUAGACUGGCUCCCUAUUUUUUUGAAUCGUUUUUUUUCUUCCUUUUUGGUUUCUGGUUCUUGCUCUUUGAUUUUGGCUUCCCCUUUUCGUUUUGCAGGUUCCAUCUUUAAAAGCUGGGUUGUCCAAAAAUUUGGACAACCCGGCAAUGGGGUUUGGGCACCAAGGAGUUGGUAGCCAGAGCCCCAUCAUUCAUGGUGGUUGGGGGAAGGAAUGGCUGG
rnacentral:lncRNA from 1 species